rnacentral:rRNA from 1 species
CCUACGGGGGGCAGCAGUGGGGAAUAUUGGGCAAUGGGCGCAAGCCUGACCCAGCAACGCCGCGUGAAUGAAGAAGGCCUUCGGGUUGUAAACUUCUUUUCUCAGGGAAGAAGCAAGUGACGGUACCUGAUGAAUAAGCCACGGCUAACUACGUGCCAGCAGCCGCGGUAAUACGUAGGUGGCAAGCGUUAUCCGGAUUGACUGGGUGUAAAGGGCGUGUAGGCGGGUGGGCAAGUCGGAGGUGAAAACUAUGGGCUCAACCUAUAGACUGCAUCCGAAACUGUACGUCUUGAGUGCUGGAGAGGCAAUUGGAAUUCCUGGUGUAGCGGUGAAAUGCGUAGAUAUACGGAGGAACACCAGUGGCGAAGGCGGAUUGCUGGACAGUAACUGACGCUGAGGCGCGAAAGCGUGGGGAGCAAACAGGAUUAGAUACCCGUGUAGUC